UACAGAGGUCCCGAGCGUUGUUCGGAUUCAUUGGGCGUAAAGGGUGCGUAGGCGGCUUCCUAAGUUUGAUGUGAAAUCCUGGGGCUCAACCCUGGAACUGCAUUGAAUACUGGGAGGCUAGAGUACUGGAGAGGAAACUGGAAUUUACGGUGUAGCAGUGAAAUGCGUAGAGAUCGUAAGGAAGACCAGUGGCGAAGGCGAGUUUCUGGACACGUAUUGACGCUGAGGUGCGAAAGCGUGGGGAGCAAACAGG
rnacentral:rRNA from 1 species